CAGCUUUAAUACAAGCUUCAAACUAAUAGAAACCAGCCGCAGAUAGCUAAUGUGACACAGAUGUGGGUUGGUGGGGGGUUUGUAUCUGCAGUUUUGAGUGGCUUCCAGGCCUAUCUGAUUUGUUUACAUUGGAGGUUAGGGUGGUUGAUGUGAAAAAAAAAAAAGAAAAAAAAGUGGUGUGUGCGUGUGUUAUCAUUGGUGAAUUUCGGGUGAAAUUUUUUCUUUUUAUAUCCAAGAAAAUUUAACUUGAGCCUGGACCGGUCCUUGCAGUCAAGUCUAACGAGUUGUUGAUCUUCGGCGAAGAAUAAUGGUAUCUGAUGGUUUCUUGCAUUUUCUCGAAUUCGAUAAUCUCCUCAUGAUGGAAUUUUCAAGCUUUUCAUAGAAAUGGCUAAAGGAUCCGUGGAAUGUGGAGUGGGCUCUACCUUUAAUGGGCUAUUCUCCAAAAAAAUAACACAAACUGUAAUUUCCACCGUUCCACUGGAGGUCUUUUGGUUAAGGUAAUAAACGGUUUUAAAAACAGCCAACCAUAUGAUACUUUUCCUACAAUGGUUGAAUCUAACAGCUGGAAUUGUGUGAUCCCUUAACUGAAUUUUGAUAUAUGGCCUAUCACAUUAUGCAUUA